CUUUUUUUCAGAGCAUCCCAGAAGCGCUGGAAAUGCUCAUCAAGUCUCUGUAAGAGUCGGUCCACGGAGCUAUGAGGGUAUGUGUCAGGCUUCUGUGCCACGUGGUUUGGCUGAUCGCCCCGGGACCGCUCUCGGCCUUGUACCCCAGAGGCAUUGGCAGCUGCCAUCUUGUGGAGGGUGGUUGCUGCAGAACUGGCGGUAGGCGCUUGGAG